rnacentral:ncRNA from 2 species
AAUUUUAUUCAUACUAUAGGUGCCCCUUUAGGGGAGAAUAGGGAAUGAAGUAAAACCUUCAGCGGUCCCACCACUGUAAAGAGGAGUUUUGCACAAGGAGCCACUGGUUACCCGGGAAGGCGUGCAAGGCGUUGAAUCUGAGCCAGGAGACCUGCCUAUAGGAUUUAAGUUUC